GACGAACGCUGGCGGCGUGCCUAAUACAUGCAAGUAGAACGCUGAAGGAGGAGCUUGCUUCUCUGGAUGAGUUGCGAACGGGUGAGUAACGCGUAGGUAACCUGCCUGGUAGCGGGGGAUAACUAUUGGAAACGAUAGCUAAUACCGCAUAAUAGUAGAUGUCGCAUGACAUUUGCUUAAAAGGUGCAAUUGCAUCACUACCAGAUGGACCUGCGUUGUAUUAGCUAGUUGGUGAGGUAACGGCUCACCAAGGCAACGAUACAUAGCCGACCUGAGAGGGGGAUCCGCCCAACUGGGACUGGGACAAGGCCCAGACCCCUACGGGAGGCAGCAGGAGGGAAUCUUCGGCAAUGGACGGAAGGCUGACCGAGAAACGCCGGGUGAGUGAAGAAGGGUUUCGGAUCGUAAAGCUCUGUUGUAAGAGAAGAACGAGUGUGAGAGUGGAAAGUUCACACUGUGACGGUAUCUUACCAGAAAGGGACGGCUAACUACGUG
rnacentral:rRNA from 1 species